UACGGAGGAUGCAAGCGUUAUCCGGAAUGAUUGGGCGUAAAGCGUCCGCAGGUGGCUGUGUAAGUCUGCUGUCAAAGAGCAAAGCUCAACUUUGUAAAGGCAGUGGAAACCACACGGCUAGAGUGCGUUCGGGGCAGAGGGAAUUCCUGGUGUAGCGGUGAAAUGCGUAGAGAUCAGGAAGAACACCGGUGGCGAAGGCGCUCUGCUGGGCCGCAACUGACGCUGAGGAGCGAAAGCAUGGGGAGCGAACAGG
rnacentral:rRNA from 1 species